GUAAAUAAUCGUGCAGGGGAAGGCGGGGGAAGGGGUGAAUUCAGCAAUGUUAAAAGCUAAACAACAGAUAUAUCUCCGGACGCUGCUGCUUCACUCAAUUGCAACUAAUAACCCAUUAAAGACAGCGCAGGGGGAACUGAAUUCUCUCCUGCAAAGCGACAUAAAUCCAGCGAAAACCCAUUAAACCACCACCACCGCCACCAAGCCACGCAGCACUACGCACCACAGCAAACAACAGUGAAGGCGAUGGUUACUGCUGUCAAUCUUGGCAAUCAAUGUGAGCGGCCAUGUCUGAACACCCGCCGUGCGGAUCCGCAUACACGUGCCGAGAAACAAGAAAACGCUUUCACUUGGAGCGUUACCCCACGUUCAGAAACGCCUUUGGAGUGACUGCUGCCCUUGCUUUGGCUUCAUGAAGGCUAAAGGCAGGCAGAUGUUGAGGAGGGAUGCUGACCUGCUGGGGGUGCCUGCACAGGGAAGGGACUGCAGGCGCUCACAUCAGGUCGGGGCACUUACCUGUGCACAGCUGUCAUGGCAUUUUGCGCCGUGUGUCUCACCAAAUGCUUUAAAGUAAAGCAAUGCUCAACAAGCGA